CCUACGGGCGGCUGCAGUGAGGAAUAUUGGUCAAUGGACGAGAGUCUGAACCAGCCAAGUAGCGUGAAGGAUGACUGCCCUAUGGGUUGUAAACUUCUUUUAUAAAGGAAUAAAACGAGGCACGUGUGCCUUUUUGCAUGUACUUUAUGAAUAAGGAUAGGCUAACUCCGUGCCAGCAGCCGCGGUAAUACGGAGGUUCCGAGCGUUAUCCGGAUUUAUUGGGUUUAAAGGGAGCGUAGAUGGGUUGUUAAGUCAGUUGUGAAAGUUUGCGGCUCAACCGUAAAAUUGCCAUUGAUACUGGCAGUCCUGAGUACAGUUGAGGUAGGCGGAAUUCGUGGUGUAGCGGUGAAAUGCUUAGCUAUCACGCAUAACCCCGAUUGCGAAGGCAUCUUACUAAACUGUGACUGACAUUGCUCCUCGAUCGUGUGGGUAUCAAACAGGAUUAGCUACCCGUGUAGUC
rnacentral:rRNA from 1 species